GAUGAACGCUGGCGGCGUGCCUAAUACAUGCAAGUCGAGCGAACAGACGAGGAGCUUGCUCCUCUGACGUUAGCGGCGGACGGGUGAGUAACACGUGGAUAACCUACCUAUAAGACUGGGAUAACUUCGGGAAACCGGAGCUAAUACCGGAUAAUAUAUUGAACCGCAUGGUUCAAUAGUGAAAGACGGUUUUGCUGUCACUUAUAGAUGGAUCCGCGUCGCAUUAGCUAGUUGGUAAGGUAACGGUUUACCAAGGCAACGAUGCGUAGCCGACCUGAGAGGGUGAUCGGCCACACUGGAACUGAGACACGGUCCAGACUCCUACGGGAGGCAGCAGUAGGGAAUCUUCCGCAAUGGGCGAAAGCCUGACGGAGCAACGCCGCGUGAGUGAUGAAGGUCUUCGGAUCGUAAAACUCUGUUAUUAGGGAAGAACAAAUGUGUAAGUAACUAUGCACGUCUUGACGGUACCUAAUCAGAAAGCCACGGCUAACUACGUG
rnacentral:rRNA from 1 species